GCUUUUGUGGUGUAGUGGUCAGCACGCUCGGCACGUAUUCGAGAGGUCCGAGGUUCGAGUCCCGGCUAGGGCA
rnacentral:tRNA from 1 species